GACGAACGCUGGCGGCGUGCCUAAUACAUGCAAGUAGGACGCAGUUGCGAACGGGUGAGUAACGCGUAGGUAACUGCCUAUUAGAGGGGGAUAACUAUUGGAAACGAUAGCUAAUACCGCAUACUAGUAGAUGGACCUGCGUUGGAUUAGCUAGUAGGUAGGGUAAUGGCCUACCUAGCCAAGGAUACAUAGACGACCUGUGAGGGUGGUCGGCCCACCUGGGACUGGGACACGGCCCAGACUCCUUCGGGAGGCAGCAGUAGGGAAGCUUCGGCAAUGGGGGGAACCCUGACCGAGCCACGCCGCGUGAGUGAAGAAGGUUUUCGGAUCGUAAAGCUCUGUUGUUAAGGAAGCGGUACUUAACCAGAAAGGGACGGCUAACUACGUGCCAGCAGCCGCGGUAAUUC
rnacentral:rRNA from 1 species